rnacentral:tRNA from 1 species
GGGGAUUUAGCUCAGUGGUAGAGCGCUUGCCUAGGAAGCGCAAGGCCCUGGGUUCGAUUCCCAACUCCG